rnacentral:rRNA from 1 species
AGCUCCAUCAGUGUAUAUUAACGUUGUUGCGGUUAAAAAGCUCGUAGUUGGAUUUCGGAGAGUGAAGGUCAAGACCCAUCAAAUUGGUGUUGGUCCGACAGUCGCCUCCUAUUUUUUUAGAGUAACGGCCUUGUUUCCUUUGCGGGUUACGAGUGUUUCUCCGUUCUCUAUCUUUUACUUUGAUAAAAUCAGAGUGUUCAAAGCAGGCGUCACUUGCCUUGAAUGUUGCCGCAGGGGAUAAUAGAAUAUGACUUUGGUCUUAUUUUGUUGGUUUCUAGGGCUGAAGUAAUGACUAAUAGGGACAGUUGGGGGCGCUCGUAUUGAGUUGCUAGAGGUGAAAUUCUAGGAUUUACUCAAGACGGACUACUGCGAAAGCAUUCGCCAAGGAUGUUUUCA